rfam:Delta proteobacterium NaphS2 ctg_1101087564899, whole genome shotgun sequence.
AAUGAAUGACAAUCCAUAGGUUGUCCGAUUUGCCGAUGUUCGAGUGCAGGCAGAUUGGGCCUAGAGGGAAGACGGUGUAAAUCCGUCGCGGGCCCGCCGCUGUAACCGGGGACGAACGCCGCAUGAUGCCACUUUUCCGAGAGAUCGGGAUGGGAAGGCGCGGUCAGUAGAAUGAUCCGGAAGCCAGAAGACCUGACCAUGGAAAUUUAAGCGC